GCCUUCGUAGCUCAGCGACAGAGCAUCUCCACUCAGUUCAAAUAGGUAGUACCGAUAUCGAGACGACGUGGGUUCGACUCCCACCGAAGGCA